CAGUUCAGAAGCUACGACUAACGGGAAGUGCAUCAGUGACAAAAUCAUACCCGUAAUACAUAGCCCCGCCAUAUAAUGACCCGUCGAUAGAGCUUACGCACACACACAACUAAACUCCGAAGAAGACAAAAAAACACCAACCCACACAAGAACACAACUUGACUACUACCUAGAUAAAGAGGGAUGAGAAGAUGAACUGAAUCCAAUGGACUCCAUGGACAUCGAUUGACAAGCUACAAACCGGAUCCGAAAGAACAGCUAAACCACCACCGCAAACCAGAUCAAAGUUUCGAACCAGUCACAACCACGCCAACCAACAUCGAACCUGACAUGAACUCAUAUCCUCAACCUCCCUUGACCAAAGAAACAAAGACUAAAGAGAACUAAGACGAGGAAGGGCCUCUCCAGUACUGGCGAAGAGCGCUAGUGACCAGAGAGGUGUCGAUCUGAAAGAGUGAGGCGACAGGUGGCGGUAGAGAUGGCAUAAGACCAUUCUAAUAGAUCACUCUCUUUUUUUCUACUUAAAAUAGAAUAAUUUUAUAACAGUUUUGAAUUUUACUUCAGUUCAACUUUAUUUUAAAAUGAAAGAGUGAUAAACAAACAAAAAAAUUAUUUUAUUUAUGCAUUAAACUUAUUUUUAUUUUAUUAUAGAGUGAAAAAAUAAAAUAGAGUUAAAUUUCUUUACUCUAAAUAUUAUUUUAUAGUGAAAAUAAAAUAAAAUUGGAGAUAAUCUAAAAUAACAUAUGAAAAUUAGACAGCCAUAAUUUUUGGAACUCUCUUUACAAUUCCUUUUUUUUUUGUUUACGUAAAGCAAUAAAAAUAAUGUUUGAGAGUUUCUAACAAAAUAUUACAGAUAUCAUAACUUUAGAUCUGAACUCGUCCGGACCCAAAAAAAUCGAUCCGAACCAAAAAAAAUUGAAGUAUCUAAGGUCAAAAUGUCUAGGAUCUGAAAUACCAUGGCCUGGAAGAAACCGAUCCGAACCCGGCCUAAAGAUCCGUUCGUCCAUUCAUAAUUUCUAUCAAUGUUUUGACCGAUCAAGAACUUGAUCCAUGAACAAUUUCACAACACUCCACUCUUGUCUUCUCGAUCUCACCUUGCAAAAAUUACGAAAUCAAGGGGAAAUCGUAUCAGAUACCCUAGCUAAAUCAACAAAAUUACAAAACAUACCUAAGUAUUAUCCGCUCACUCAACAACACGUCGGAUCUAACCGGAUCUCAAUCACACCUAGACUCAAACACGAUUUCUCAUGGCUCUCUCCCUCUUCACAAGCAAUGUUCAUAAAUUUCUCUUGUUCUUUUUUCUUUUCUAAGACAUUUUUGAAACUAGGGAGAACUAGAACCAAGAACUACAAGGUAAGUCUCUUAUUCAUGUCGAUUUUGAUGUGAUGGAGAGAUGGUGGAUGCAUGUUGAUUUCAUGUGUCUCAUUCAAAUCUCUAGUUAAUUGGUUUGUUAUUGUAGCAACGAAAGAUAGCUAAGACGAGAUGGACAAAGAACAAAGUCAAGAAUGCAACCCUCGAAGAGAUAUCUCUCCAUGAAAAUAAGAAGAUACGAACUCAUAUAUUGUCAUUUUAUCAUAUGAUAAGAAAGACCUUGUACACGCUGACUCUUUUUGGAGGGGGUCGUUAAGGAGGGUGUUUUAUGGCCAAUUCCCAGUUUCUAUAAAUUGAUCAUUGUUACUACUAUAAUAACUGAAGCUAACUCUAACAAUAUCACGUGUGUGUGUCUUAUGCAGAUUAAUGUUUGAGGUGUAGACCAAAAUUGUCUUAGGAUGUGCACUUCAAAGUAUGAAAAAAAAUUCUCUUAAUAAUUGAAGAACCUAAGUUGAAUGUCGUGUCUUCCAAAAGGAUAUGUCGCAUGGUUUGAAGAGAUGUUCAACAAAGACGUGGCUUCCUUACUAGCCCCUCCAACUGAGAAUCCAGAGAACGAGGAUUAUCUGUAACUGAAGCACCAGAAAACGCACUAAAAGUAACUGAGCUGGUAUAGCUCGUGAA